rnacentral:rRNA from 1 species
GAUGAACGCUGACAGAAUGCUUAACACAUGCAAGUCUACUUGAACUUCGGUUUGGGUGGCGGACGGGUGAGUAACGCGUAAAGAACUUGCCUCACAGUUAGGGACAACAUUUGGAAACGAACGCUAAUACCUGAUAUUAUGAUUUUAGGGCAUCCUAGGAUUAUGAAAGCUAUAUGUGCUGUGAGAGAGCUUUGCGUCCCAUUAGCUAGUUGGAGAGGUAACGGCUCACCAAGGCGAUGAUGGGUAGCCGGCCUGAGAGGGUGAACGGCCACAAGGGGACUGAGACACGGCCCUUACUCCUACGGGAGGCAGCAGUGGGGAAUAUUGGACAAUGGACCAAAAGUCUGAUCCAGCAAUUCUGUGUGCACGAUGACGUUUUUCGGAAUGUAAAGUGCUUUCAGUUGGGAAGAAAAAAAUGACGGUACCAACAGAAGAAGUGACGGCUAAAUACGUG